rnacentral:piRNA from 1 species
UGUAUGUGAUCAAGGAUCUAGUCCCUGU